rnacentral:rRNA from 1 species
ACUCGACUCCAUGAAGUCGGAAUCGCUAGUAAUCGUGGAUCAGAAUGCCACGGUGAAUACGUUCCCGGGCCUUGUACACACCGCCCGUCACACCAUGGGAGUGGGUUGCAAAAGAAGUAGGUAGCUUAACCUUCGGGAGGGCGCUUACCACUUUGUGAUUCAUGACUGGGGUGAAGUCGUAACAAGGUAACCGUAGGGGAACCUGCGGUU